rnacentral:tRNA from 1 species
UACAUCCCUAUGGCCGAAUGGAUAAGGUUCCCGCAUACGACAAAAGACAAAGGUGAAGGUUCGAUUCCUCUUGGGGAUUU